GACUGCUCUGGUGGUCUAGUGGUUAGAGCAUCCAACUCAGAUGCGGGAGGUUGCAGGUUUGAACCCUGUCCGAGUCA